rnacentral:rRNA from 1 species
GCUUGCUCCCUGAUGUUAGCGGCGGACGGGUGAGUAACACGUGGGUAACCUGCCUGUAAGACUGGGAUAACUCCGGGAAACCGGAGCUAAUACCGGAUAGUUCCUUGAACCGCAUGGUUCAAGGAUGAAAGACGGUUUCGGCUGUCACUUACAGAUGGACCCGCGGCGCAUUAGCUAGUUGGUGGGGUAAUGGCUCACCAAGGCGACGAUGCGUAGCCGACCUGAGAGGGUGAUCGGCCACACUGGGACUGAGACACGGCCCAGACUCCUACGGGAGGCAGCAGUAGGGAAUCUUCCGCAAUGGACGAAAGUCUGACGGAGCAACGCCGCGUGAGUGAUGAAGGUUUUCGGAUCGUAAAGCUCUGUUGUUAGGGAAGAACAAGUGCGAGAGUAACUGCUCGCACCUUGACGGUACCUAACCAGAAAGCCACGGCUAACUACGUGCCAGCA